GUAACCGUCCAUAAAUAACUUAGGCAACUAAGUGAUUUUAAGGUUACCCGCUUUAGUUCUUCAGAACUCCGUUAGGGACGAAAAUAUAGGCACUCUUGUGAUGCAUCUCCAGUCCAAGACCCUGCGGGGAGUCAUUAAACAAGUCUGAUGGAAAGGUUAGUGUGGCUCCCAUUCAAAACCGUCCUAUAACAUUAGCUAGGAGACCAUUAC
rfam:Beggiatoa sp. 4572_84 ex4572_84_scaffold_57154, whole genome shotgun sequence.